UACGGAGGGUGCAAGCGUUAUCCGGAUUCACUGGGCUUAAAGGGUGCGUAGGCGGGUAGGUAAGUCAGUGGUGAAAUCUCCGGGCUUAACCCGGAAACUGCCGUUGAUACUAUCUAUCUUGAAUAUCGUGGAGAUGAGCGGAAUAUGUCAUGUAGCGGUGAAAUGCUUAGAUAUGACAUAGAACACCGAUUGCGAAGGCAGCUCGUUACACGGUUAUUGACGCUGAGGCACGAAAGCGUGGGGAUCAAACAGG
rnacentral:rRNA from 1 species